rnacentral:rRNA from 1 species
AGUUUGAUCAUGGCUCAGAACGAACGCUGGCGGCAGGCUUAACACAUGCAAGUCGAACGCGUGUAGCAAUACACGAGUGGCGCACGGGUGAGUAACGCGUGGAUAUCUGCCUUUUGGUUCGGAAUAACCCCGGGAAACUGGGGCUAAUACCGGAUGGUUCCUUCGGGAUAAAGAUUUAUCGCCAAAAGAUGAGUCCGCGUCCGAUUAGCUAGUUGGUGAGGUAAUGGCUCACCAAGGCGACGAUCGGUAGCUGGUCUGAGAGGACGAUCAGCCACACUGGGACUGAGACACGGCCCAGACUCCUACGGGAGGCAGCAGUGGGGAAUAUUGGACAAUGGGGGCAACCCUGAUCCAGCCAUGCCGCGUGAGUGAUGAAGGCCUUCGGGUUGUAAAGCUCUUUUGGCGGGGACGAUGAUGACGGUACCCGCAGAAUAAGCCCCGGCUAACUUCGUGCCAGCAGCCGCGGUAAGACGAAGGGGGCUAGCGUUGUUCGGAAUUACUGGGCGUAAAGCGAGUGUAGGUGGUUGUCCAAGUUGGAUGUGAAAGCCUUGAGCUCAACUCAAGAAAUGCAUUCAGGACUGGGCGGCUAGAGGACCGGAGAGGAUAGUGGAAUUCCCAGUGUA